CCCUUAGAUGUCCUGGGCCGCACGCGCGUUACACUGAUGCAUUCAACGAGCUUAUAACCUUGGCCGAGAGGCCUGGGCAAUCUUAUUAACGUGCAUCGUGAUAGGGAUAGAUUAUUGAAAUUAUUAAUCUUGAACGAGGAAUUCCUAGUAAACGCAGAUCAUCAAUCUGCAUUGAUUACGUCCCUGCCCUCUGUACACACCGCCCGUCGCACCUACCGAUUGGAUGGUCCGGUGAAGCCUCGGGAUUGUGGUUCUUGCCGCUUUAUUGUGGCGUGACCGCGAGAACUUGUCUAAACCUUAUCAUCUAGAGGAAGGUGAAGUCGUAACA
rnacentral:rRNA from 1 species